UUUUUGUCCGCAGAGGCUACAUGUGACAUCACGCAGCCGCCGCAACCCGCCCCAGCAACGGCCCGGACACACCUCCGUUGUUCGGACUGCACCCCCCAACGUCGCCGCAACGCCGUCCCAUCUCCCCUGACCGCCCCUCGACUGCCUCUGCCUGUCAAUCAGGCAGAGGCGAUAGCACAAGCAGGAACGUCGGAAUGGGGGGACAAGGGGGCAGCUCGCUCCCCCCAAACAUGAGAGAGGCGCAGAUACUGGUGCACAGGAGCGGCAGGCAGCUAGGUGUUACGCACCUGUGUACUAGCGCCUCUUAAUGGGCGCACCGUUUAAUGUCAAAUUGCAGGUUGGGCCUGCAGUCUCAGCAGAUACGCAGCAGUAGCGUAGCAGCCCAGCAUAGAUGCAGUCAUCAUUCCCGGCCCCUCACAGUCUCCUCAGCGUACUGUGAUAGUACUUCCUCCUCCUCCACUGUUGCCAUGCAGCUUCCUCCCCUCCUCUGCUCCGCCCCCGAUCCAUCCCACACUUUGCCUCCAUGCCUGAGUUUGUUUCUGCAGCAGGUUGCAGGGCGGCUGUCUGUCUCUCCCCAUCUAACCUAGCCUUUUGUCCGUCCUGCGGCUCCUCCUCCCCUCCUGAUCCAUGCUGCCAGUGUCUUUAAUUUACUAUUACGGCAGGCUGAUCUGGGGCCACACAGACUACAGCACAAUGACAGUGAUGAGGUGCCCGCCUACCCGCACCUCUAAACGUCGGCGACGCUGCAGCGCUGGCCAGAUAACAGAGUUUAGGUGCUGGGAGGGCACACCUGGAGCAGAGAGGAGCAGAAAACUGAGGAGCCAAAGAGUACACAGGAGGGCACCAAAUGAAAUUUUCGCCAUGGAUCUGCUUGGUCUAGAACCGGCCCUGGAUACACCUCCCGGAUUUCUGCUAGGUCAUUGAGGAUUUCCAUGACCAUAUUAUGGAACAAGUCUGAGAGACAAGUGCUUUUAUACAGUCCACAGAUCUAUGUGACAAUUUCUGAUACAGUAGGGUGCAUUAUUCUUUACAAUUUGCUAAUUUUCUAACAGCCACUGAAGUGAUAACAUUUAUUAAUGUGUAUUAUUUAUAAUAUAAUUCUC